GCCGAUUCUGCUCUCAAAACCACUUGAGUCUGUGGAAAAAUGCAAAGUCAAAGCAGAACCAAUUUCUUCCUGGGAUUGUUCCAGCAUGGGUUUUCUAAUCUUCAAAAGUCUCUGCUUGCUUUAUUACAUUAUGAGUAAAACGUCUGUGUGAGGAUGAAG